ACAAUAUACCCACACAUUUUUAAUGGCUUCAGGGUAUAAAAAGUUAAGUUUUGAUUUGACAAACUUCGCUCGUUUUUUUUUGAAGAAAGCUUAACCAAAGUCUUCUGCUAGUUUGAAGUGCAUCAAUUUAUAGGACAUCCGAUUGACGACCGCAAGGCUAUUCAAAUUGUGGCCUACGCCAGAUAGCUGUUCUUUCUGGUUCCGCAACGUAAUCGGUUUGACCCCUUGCCGUUAAGUAGUAGGUGCCGGUACAGGUCGGCUAAUGCGCCCAUUUAUUAUCUAUUGAUCGGGUGCAUGCUUAGGUUGGCAAAUUCGUCGGCGAUUAUGAAUUCACUUUCCAAAAUUCGCCAGCAUCCGCGCAGCGCUAACUUUCGAUUUAAGCAAAACGCGUGCUUUAGGCCGCCCAGACCCGAAAAACUCAACUGAAACCGAAGUUGGCUACAAAAGCGAAAGGUGCCGCCGCAGAGCGUUGUUUAUGAUAAUAGUGUCGGGGGCAGGAGGGCAAGGAGGAUGUGUAGGGAACGACAAGACUGACAACAAGUUGCACGUACUUGAGGCAGCGUGAAAGGGAAAAGAAAGUCGCACUAGGAAAAACUUACUUGAAAUCCGCAAAUAAAUGUCACGAAUAAACUUGAACACCGGGCAGAAGCAAGAGCUGAUGCAACAAUUGUCGCCAGGGGAUAGUAAACGGAAAAGACAGCUCCGGGGGAAAAACCCGUGUGGAAAAUCUGCUUAGCGGGCAAUGAAAACGAGCGAGCGAAAUAAUCGAAAAACAACAAAGAAAAACGCUGCAGUCGGGUAGUCGACCACGUAAUACUCUGUUCGCAAUCAAGCUAUCGAUAGCUGACUCUAAAACUGUAACCAGUCAGUGGCUUUUCAACUGUGACAAGAAUAUUCUUUAUAAAUAUUUUAAAUAGUAAAUAGUAAUACAUAAAUAGUUAAAUAGUUGUAGAGCUAACAAAUAACGUCUGUGCUUCGUAUAUGUAAAUGCUCUUAAAAUUUGAGCAAAAUCGGACAAUAAACGCCGAAGAGAGUUAAAAAAGCUCGUCACAUCUGCGCUGGCUACAGGGUGUUUUCUAGUGGGGCAUACCUAACAAAAUCAGUUUUUUCUUGUUAUUUACUUUAAAAGGUUACACAAAUAAAAUAACUGUAAUAGCGUAUAUUAUGAGCGCAUAGAUACAUUUUCGUUUGUUUGAGUAUUUUCAUAUUGCACUCGUCCUUCUCGAAUAGUUGAGAUCAAUUCGAAAUUGGAAUUUCGCAAGUUAUUCAAAGAGUUGCAAUGCUUGACACUCAAAAAGAUACACACAUAUACAGACACUCACACACACAGCUGAACGUAUCCAUGUGCAGAGCUCGGCCGACGGAUUGAGUUCGCUCAGUCGAUCGCUGCAGCUAUGAGCAAGAUUGAGAGAUCUGAGUCGUGGCUGCGACGCUUUGCUGAGUGCUUGCGUUUCUAAGCCGACGCUCUUAUACAUUAGCGCUCUUCCACUCUUAUACUGUGGCGAUAUUUGAGUGGUGGUAAGAGGUCUGCAGCUUCUAACUGGCAAACUGCUGACUGUGCAGCGUUUCGAGUGUGUUGAACCUGUGGCAGAGCUCUUCGUCGCAAUUCCAAUUGAAAACUGGAAUUGGUUUAACUGGAAACAUUGGUAUGCGAAUUUCGGAAUGCCGGAACGGUCCAUGGAAGUUUGCCAAGAGCUACAACAGCAACGAUAAACAAGUAAGAGUGCUUUAGGCAACACUGCACGACGUGCAGAUACCUUGUACCCAGCUCCGAAUAUUUUCAAUACACAUACAUACAUACAUAUAUACAUAUGUAUUGGUACACACACUCUUUAUUCUUUGGGCAGCGGUUGUGCUCUUUUGCCGUCAGCUUCUCACAUUGAAAAAUGCAUUCAUGAAUAACCUCUUAUUUUAUUGUGCGAUUCUUAUUAUAUUAUUGGGGCUAUGCCUUUUCGUCCUGAUGUGUCUAUGCACAUACAUAUAUACAUAUUCAUACAUACAUAAAUGGAAGGUGUGCUUAAUGAAGUCGGAGAUAUCUGCCUGGCAAAAAAUACAUUUGCGCAAUACCCAUUUUAUGGAUUUAGGGUAUAAAAACAAGACAAAAUAAUUGAGCACUUGAUCAGCGGGAGCAACAACAUUACGAUCAAGAUUGAAGAAGAAUGUGGAAGAGAGGGUCAGACAGUAAAAGAGACAAAAAAGGCGGAGAGAGGAAAAGAGCGAGGCAGUGAGGCGAACGCAAACGAAAAAUUAAAAUAAUAUAAACACACACACACACACACACACACACACUUAAGUACAAUCAUGUGAUGUAUGUAUGUAUGCAUGUAUGUGUAUCCAGUUGCUUGCAUGCAAGAUACAAAGGCAUAAAUAAAAGACUGAACAGUUACACCGAAGAGUAAAUACCUUUGCUGACAUGUACACUAUGUAUGUAUGUACAUGCACAUGCUCCAAUGACGCUAUUGUGAGAAGUCAGUAGAUUGUUUUUAUCGAUUUUGGUGAAGAGUUCGAGAACAGUUAUUUCUUCAUGAGCUGAAAAGGUCGGUUGUAUUGUGAUACUCACUGCAAGGGUAUUUGAAAUUAACUUUGUCGAGAGAGAGAGAGAGACACGCUAGUUGCAUGUAAUGGAGGAGACAAAGAGAUAAAAGCAAUUUGGGAGAGACAUUUUUUUUAAGGAGAGAGAAUGGUGGUCUGGAUGUUUGCAAUGUUGUUCCUACUGUUAUUUCUUUGAUUCCAGUGAGCACUCGACGAGUCGAUUUACAGCAGCACAUGCAUACAUACACACCGGGUCUCACGCAUACACACUCACACACACACGCCAGGCAACACGAUCAAGUGGUUUCCAAAUCGCACGAGGUUGAGUGAGUUCCAAACAAGUAAUGAAAGCAAAGCACUGGAAAAAUAAUGAUUGGGUCUGUGAAGAAACACAUUCAAAGUAAGUCGGGAGCAAAAACUCUGCUUGGAAAUAAUUCAGCUCGUGAAAGGCAAAAAUAUCGAUUUAAAGACAUUUUAAAUGUUGUGACUUUUUUAUACUCUGUUGACAGAGCUUAAAACGAGUCUAUGCGCUUUGAACAAUGUCCGUCCACAGACUGCAUGUUUGGAACUCAUACUCGUGUGAUUCCCCAUCGGAUCUAGUGUUAAGCUAAAUAAGCUUUUAGGAAAUAUUCACGAAAUUGUUUUCUACUUUCUGCUUUUUGGCCUUUUUCAAAGAUUACAAUUACAUUUUUGGUAAAACAGAGUGUUUCUGUGUUUUUACUACUACAUUUUUGAAUCCGGGCAUAGCCGGGUAAUAUGUAAAUAUGUAUCUUCAAUGCACGAAGUAUUUAGAAGAAUAUUGCCUUGAAAAUCCAGUUACAAAGUCAACUGUAGACUUAAUUCAGACAAGGCUUACGUGUUAUUAAGAUGAAAGACAAACGGAAACAUGAUAUAUUUGCUCUGAGAGGGACAUUUCGGUUUCCUGCCGUGUCGACCAUAAUUAUGUAGGGGCAGAUGCAGCUCAUGACAACUCGGCGAGACUCCGAUUAAAGAUUGUAACUGUGAUUCGACAUUGGCAGGAACUGCAGACUGCGAAAAUGCUUCGUUUUCUUUCGAGCAGCUUCGUUUUGUUCGCCUCACUGUGACAGUGUCUUUUUAGCUGCAUCUGGUGAAAGUUGCACAUGCCACAAACGGCUGGUUUUCAAGGUCUUUCCGUAGGUGUCAAGCCCAGAGAAGGGAACUGUGGCGCAACCGAGUCGCUGGCGUAGACAGUUUCUCGAGACGGCGGCUAGUAAUGUUACCUGGGCCUGUGCUGGAGAAUCUUCGAAAUGGGCACGUUAAUUAAUGCAACUGAUUCCAUUGAGGGAUUGCUUAACUUAACAAUAUUUGGCAGAACGAGCGAAGCUUUCCAAAAAGUGAAAUAUAUAUUGUGUGUACUCAUUUGUCAUUUUUCAUUUGAUGUCAAAUUUACCGAAUUGACCGAAAAAUUGCAUAAUGAUCGGACUAUAAGAACCGAAGGAAGAGACUAUCAGAAUGGAAGGAAGCUGGAAUGCUGGUAACGAAAUAAGAAGCAGCAAGCAAUCAGUUCCAGUUUUUUUCCAUCUUCUGUCCAAGUAACUUGACCUCGAAAAGUAUUAACUAAGCUGAGCCGAACGGCGUCCUGGAAACGUCAGAAGCUUAUCACUUGAAAUAUUCAUAAUAAUAUCACAUGACAGAUGCACCUGGGAAGUAUGGCCAGUUACCAUAUAUCUGCAUGGGGAUCCCUUGCAUAUCUGUGAAGGGGAUCCCUUCGAUUGAUGGUCAUUCAACUCGGUGUCGAGGAGGCUUUACGCCUUUUUUUUGUUUUGUGAUUCGUCUCUGGCUUCUCUCCAGAUGCAGCUACAGCUGCAUCGGAUUCAUAGCCUGAUUGGCCUCCGUUUAGGUUGUAUUUAUACCUGAUGAGCAUCGGCUCCCAGUUGCCAGUUGCACUCUCUUUGUAUGUGGCCCAAGGCGGAUUUAGCCAUAUUUAUACACGUUCCUGUUUUGCUUAUAUUUUCUUGUAUGUCGCCGUCAACUUCUACGCUCCGCUCCAUUGCGGGUAGUCAACAUUUUCUUCAUUUCGUUCGUUUUGUACCCGUUGUACCCAUUACACAUGCGGCAAUCGGGUAUGCUCAAUUUUAAAAACUCAAGAACCGACUGUAUAGAAAAUACAAUUUACUUUGUACUUGGAGUUGAUUUAGGGUAUUACCAACUUACCAAUACCUUUUCCUAUGGCUUACAUUUUAAGUUUUCCAACUAAGUUUUAUUCAAAAUAAGCACAGAAGUUAUUUAUGAAUCAGUUUUUCCUAGAGUUGCAGUAAAGGAAAAACAUCUCAGAUUACAUAAGUUAAUGUUAUGCUAUUGCGUAGCUGAUUGCAGGGUAUUUAUUAGUCGGGCAGCGCUGGAGAGCACUCUUACUUGUUUUGACUGUUGUUAUAAUUGUUGGACUGUAAAACAUUGGCUCUGAUAUGCGCACUUUCUCCUUUAAUACUUUUUGCUCUGCUAACAUUGUGCUCGUCGUCAUCCGCCGAGCCUGAUCCGUGAACAGCAGCAGUCGCUUUAGUCUCCGCCUUCGUCUCCAUCGCCCUCUCCGUCUCCGUCUCCAACGUCGUCUUUAAGGUGCGAGUAUCUGUGACUCCAACUGCUAAUUUGCGGCUUUCCUCAAGUCUCAAGCACUUGCUUCCGUGUGUCAUUCAUCAGCCACCCGCACUGCUCAGUCACUUGUUUGAUUUUUCUAUACUCUGUGUGGCUUUCUUUUUUUUUUUGUGGUUUUUCUUUUGACGUAUAAUUUUCCAGGCGGCUGGGAAAUUCGGUGCUGAUUGGCGCUUUUCAGUUUCGCAAAUCUAACGAUUUAUACAAACUACAAUAAAAGCAAGCAGAUACCCUGUACUCGACGCUGGCUCUUCUUUUGUGCUGCAACAAAAUGACAAGAUCAGACCAAGUUUUAUUUAUAAAUUCUUUUUUAACUGAAAGUUCUUGACUCUUAAAUUUAAUAAGUUUCAAAUAAAACUGUAUCUGAAACAAUAAUUCGAUAACUUAA